rnacentral:RNase_P_RNA from 2 species
CGAGCUAGCUAAGCAGUCGCGUGAAACAUCCGUUUCUCGAGGAAAGUCCGGGCUCCGCAGGGCAGGGUGCCAGAUAACGUCUGGGGGGCGCAAGCCUACGGAAAGUGCCACAGAAAAUAUACCGCCUGGCGAUUGUUGGGUAAGGGUGAAAUGGUGCGGUAAGAGCGCACCGCGCUGCUGGCAACAGCAGUGGCAGGGUAAACCCCACUCGGAGCAAGACCGAAUAGGAAUCUAUCAGGCGCGGCCCGCGCUAGAUUCGGGUAGGUUGCUUGAGCGCACGGGCGACUGUGCGCCUAGAUAAAUGACUGCUCACGACAGAACCCGGCUUAUCGGCUAGCUCUUUAA